AUUGAACGCUGGCGGCAUGCUUUACACAUGCAAGUCGAACGGCAGCGCGGGCUUCGGCCUGGCGGCGAGUGGCGAACGGGUGAGUAAUACAUCGGAACGUGCCCAGUAGUGGGGGAUAGCUCGGCGAAAGCCGGAUUAAUACCGCAUACGACCUGAGGGUGAAAGCGGGGGAUCUUCGGACCUCGCGCUAUUGGAGCGGCCGAUGGCAGAUUAGCUAGUUGGUGGGGUAAAGGCCUACCAAGGCGACGAUCUGUAGCUGGUCUGAGAGGACGACCAGCCACACUGGGACUGAGACACGGCCCAGACUCCUACGGGAGGCAGCAGUGGGGAAUUUUGGACAAUGGGCGAAAGCCUGAUCCAGCAAUGCCGCGUGUGUGAUGAAGGCCUUCGGGUUGUAAAGCACUUUUGGCGGGAACGAAAAGGACUGUGCCAAUACCACGGUUCGAUGACGGUACCAGCAGAAUAAGCACCGGCUAACUACGUG
rnacentral:rRNA from 1 species